UACGGAGGAUCCAAGCGUUAUCCGGAUUCAUUGGGUUUAAAGGGUGCGUAGGCGGAAUGAUAAGUCAGUGGUGAAAUCCUUCAGCUUAACUGGAGAACUGCCAUUGAUACUGUCAAUCUUGAGUACAUUUGAUGUGGGCGGAAUGUGUCAUGUAGCGGUGAAAUGCUUAGAUAUGACACAGAACACCGAUUGACGAAGGCAGCUCACAAAACUGUAACUGACGCUGAGGCACGAAAGCGUGGGUAGUCAAACAU
rnacentral:rRNA from 1 species